rfam:Triticum aestivum genome assembly, contig: Triticum_aestivum_CS42_TGACv1_scaffold_407247_5BL
GACAUACUCCCUCCGUCCAAAAAUACUUGUCGGAGAAAUGUAUAAAAAUGGAUGUAUCUAGAACUAAAAUACAUCUAGAUACACCCAUUCCCCCGACAAGUAUUUCCGGACGGAGGGAGUAUAUC